AUACUUCAAUAGCUCACUCCUAACUUUGUGAUUGGGUGUUCAUGCAUCAAUGUGACAAGUGCCCCCUCUAACCUUUACAUUCGAACAUUAUUCAUCUGACA